UACGUAGGGGGCAAGCGUUGUCCGGAUUUAUUGGGCGUAAAGAGCGUGUAGGCGGCCGCACAGGUCCGUUGUGAAAACUGGAGGCUUAACCUUCAGACGUCGAUGGAAACCGUGCGGCUAGAGUCCGGAAGAGGAGAGUGGAAUUCCUGGUGUGGCGGUGAAAUGCGCAGAUAUCAGGAGGAACACCAAUAGCGAAGGCAGCUCGCUGGGACGGUAUUGACGCUAAGGCGCGAAAGCGUGGGGAGCAAACAGG
rnacentral:rRNA from 1 species